rnacentral:rRNA from 1 species
UACGGGGGGGGCAAGCGUUGUUCGGAAUUACUGGGCGUAAAGGGCUCGUAGGCGGCCAACUAAGUCGGAUGUGAAAUCCCCAGGCUUAACCUGGGAAUUGCAUCCGAUACUGGAUGGCUUGAAUCCGGGAGAGGGAUGCGGAAUUCCAGGUGUAGCGGUGAAGUGCGUAGAUAUCUGGAGGAACACCGGUGGCGAAGGCGGCAUCCUGGACCGGCAUUGACGCUGAGGAGCGAAAGCCAGGGGAGCAAACGGG